GACGAACGCUGGCGGCGUGCCUAAUACAUGCAAGUUGAGCGCUGAAGGUUGGUACUUGUACCAACUGGAUGAGCAGCGAACGGGUGAGUAACGCGUGGGGAAUCUGCCUUUGAGCGGGGGACAACAUUUGGAAACGAAUUCUAAUACCGCAUAAAAACUUUAAACACAAGUUUUAAGUUUGCAAGAUGCAAUUGCAUCACUCAAAGAUGAUCCCGCGUUGUAUUAGCUAGUUGGUGAGGUAAAGGCUCACCAAGGCGAUGAUACAUAGCCGACCUGAGAGGGUGAUCGGCCACAUUGGGACUGAGACACGGCCCAAACUCCUACGGGAGGCAGCAGUAGGGAAAAUUCGGCAAAGGACGAAAGUCUGACCGAGCAACGCCGCGUGAGUGAAGAAGGUUUUCGGAUCGUAAAACUCGGUUGGUAGAGAAGAACGUUGGUGAGAGUGGAAAGCUCAUCAAGUGACGGUAACUACACAGAAAGGGACGGCUAACUACGUG
rnacentral:rRNA from 1 species